rnacentral:rRNA from 1 species
UGAGGAAUAUUGCGCAAUGAGCGAAAGCUAGACGCAGCAACGCCGCGUGGGUGAUGAAGGCCUUCGGGUCGUAAAACCCUUUUCUGGGGGAAGAGUAAGGACGGUACCCCAGGAAUAAGCCUCGGCUAACUAUGUGCCAGCAGCCGCGGUAAUACAUAGGAGGCAAGCGUUAUCCGGAUUUACUGGGCGUAAAGAGCGUUGAGGCGGCUUCGUAAGUUGGACGUGAAAGCUCCCGGCUUAACUGGGAGAGGCCGUUCAAUACUGCGGGGCUUGAGGACAGCAGAGGGGGGUGGAAUUUCCGGUGUAGUGGUGAAAUGCGUAGAUAUCGGAAGGAACACCAGUGGCGAAGGCGGCCCCCUGGGCUGCUCCUGACGCUGAAGGCGAAAGCUAGGGUAGCGAACG